rnacentral:tRNA from 1 species
AGACCGAUAGCUCAGUGGCAGAGCACCACCUCGUGUGGUUGCCCCGGUUCGAUUCCGGGUCGGUCAC